rnacentral:rRNA from 1 species
UGAUAUAUAACUAUUACUUAUAAAUAUAUAAGUAUAUAAAGAAACUAUUAUGGAAUUUAAGCUAUGUAUUAAAGAGAAUUAUUUAUAUAUAUAGGACAUUUCUCCUAUAAUUAUAUGAACUCUAAGAGAAAUUUUGUAAUAAACGAAGUGAAUUGAAAUAUCUUAGUAACUUUAGGAAAAUAAAUCAAAAGAGAUUCUAUUAAUAGCGUGAGCGAAAGUAGAGAAGCCUAAUAAGUAAAACGGUUUAAAACUGUUUGAAUAUUAUGGGGAACCUUCCUCAAAGGCUAAAUAUAAUACAUAAGCGAUAGUGAAAAGUACCAUGAGGGAAAUAAAAUCAAAAUAGUAGUUUUAUAAGCAGUUCGAAGUAAAGAACGUACCUUUUGCAUAAUGGGUCACCAAGUUAACGUUAGAUGCGAGAUAACACGUAGUUAAACCGAACGUUAAAAUAACGAUAUAGUGUCUAAAGUUAGACCCGAAGCCUGGUGAUUUUACCAUAGUCAGGAUUAUCAAAGUCCGAACCGGUGAUUGUAGCAAAAAUCUCGGAAGAACUGUGGUAGGUGUAGUGAAAGACAACACUGACUAGGAUAGCUGGUUUUCUGCGAAACCUAUAAUAGUAGGCAGUUUAAGUGAAUAUCUUAGCAGGUACAGAAUUUAAUCUCAGACAAGACAUUUUUUAAUGUUUUAUUUUGUACAAAUUGGGGGAUCAUGAAGAUUUUAUCAGUGAGUAUGUAGACUCGGAAUGGUAAAGAUAUAUCUUAAACUAUCAGACAUAGAAUGAUAAGGUUGUAUGUCGAAAGGGAAACAGCCCAGAACAAGAGUUAAGGUUCCUAAAUUAUUUGUUAAGUGAAAAUAAGAAGGUUUUUAUUUAAGUCGACAAGGAGAUAGGCUUAGAAGCAGCCAUAAUUUUAUGACCUCGUAACAGAGCGCUUGUUAAGUUAUAAAAGCGUCGAAAAUAUAACGGAUCUAAACAAUAUACCGAAACCUUGUCCAUAAUAUAUUAUAAUAAAUAUAUUUAUUGUAAUUAAAUGGGGUAGCAGAACGUUGAGCUAAAGUAUGAGUUUUAUUUUUUAAAUAAAAUUAUAAUAAUUUAACUCAAGUGAGAAUGGUGACAUGAGUAACUAAAAGAAAAUUUUCCGCCUUAAGCUUAUGGAUAUAAUUAAGUAACGGCCUCUAAGUUUACAUAAUCUAAAGAUUUAAACGAUGAGAAAAUCUUUAUUACUAAAAACAACAUUUUGGUGCAAAAUGUGCUGGAAAAAUAGUAAUAUAUUUGUUCUUAAAGAACAAAUAAAAUAACCGUACCUAGAAUCUGAAACAAGUAAGCUAGUAGAGAAUACGAAGGCGUAAAUGAGCUAACAAUCAUAAAGGAACUCGGCAAAUUGACUACCGUAACUUCGGAAUAAGGAGGGCUCAUUAUUCUUGAUGGAUAUCAAGUAAAGAGGAAGAAGCAUGAAAUAAUGUUGUACGACUGUUUAAUUAAAACACAGCACUUUGCUGAAAGAUUAAAAAUCUAAGUAUAAAGUGUGAUAUCUGCCCGGUGCCGGCUGGUUAACAGAUAUAAUUGAAUAUACUAAUAUUUGAUGUAGACGGAAACCCCGGUUAAAGGCGGCCUUAACGUGAGGGUCCUAAGGUAGCGAAAUGCCUUGGCCGUUAAAUGCGGUCUUGCAUGAAUGGUGUAACGAUACAACAGCUGUCUCUAUGAUUGACUCAGUGAAAUUGGAAUAGCUGUGCAGAUACAGCUUACCUCUAGUUAGACGAGAAGACCCUAUGCAGCUUUACUGUCACUAAUUAUAGAGUAUGAUAAACGAUUUUCAGAAUAUAAGGUAAUUGACAAAUAUGAUAAUGAGAAACCUUUAUUCUUUUUUCAUAUGAAUGAAUUGGUUUAGGAUUAUGAGUAUUUUAUAAUUAAUUUUAUGGAUCUAGCUUAUG